UAGUACUUAGUGCCCCCAUUUCUACUAUACAUCAACCAGUUAAUUAUGAGCAAUUCAUUGAAUUUCCUACAUAAUCCAUAAAUAAAAUAAAACAUCCAGUGUACCUCAACUAUGAUAAAAAUCAUUGGAAUGUUCGGACUUCAAAGCAGAUGGAUUGGAUAAAAUUUAAAUUUUCUUAUGCUACAAUACCAGGAGAAGAGAAGACUGAUUCAUUUUUUCUUGUACUAGGAAGAUGCAAGGGAAACAGAUGCAGAAGGAUCAAUGAUGGAGACCAAAAUCUACUAUCCUCAGAACUCGCCAUCGACUGUAGGGCCUCCAGAACCUGGCGCUGAGCUCGACUCUAGAAGUUUGAAUGACUUUCAGUCUCCUCCACGAACCUCAUCUGCAAAUGUUUCCAAGUGUUCGUGCUCAAUUCUAUGAACAAAAUGUGACUGAUUCAAGCAACGGACAGAUGAAUAAAUUCACAAUGUAAUUGAGUUUGGGAAUCUUGGGAAAUUGCGAGAAGUAAUGGAGUUUGCUCUAAGGACAUGUCCCCCCUCUUCCAGGUCCAUCACAAGAGAAACUUAUUGUCGUUUUGUCCAAGUACACAGGAACUUGAAAAUAAAAAGGAAACUGGAAUAAGGAAAGUGGAGACAACAUGCCUCUUGACAAAACUCCUCUCUUCCCAGAUGUGGAGGAGAGCUCUAUUGCUAUGUACCACCGAUCGAGCUCCCGGGAAUUGGAUUUUUGGACUUCGCUGGAUAAAGCAGGCCGCCGAGGGACUAGUUUCAGGUUGAUUACGCUGAAGCUACUGUGGAAUGGUUUCCUUAUGCAAUACUUGCUGCAUAAUCAAGUUGCUCCUAUUGAUGUUGGGAUGAAUCCCCUCGUGUUUGCGGUAAGAUAUAGAGUAUCGAAGGGUGCAUAAGCUGCUGCAGACAAAAGUUAUUCUGAUUUGGCAUUUGCCUGAAGUGUAUUGGUAUGCUUGGCCUUUAAUAACUAGUCUUGUAACUGUUUUGGAUAUAUGGGCAGUUAGUGUUCACGUUCUAGUUGGAGCUAAGACUGUUGCUUGAGUAGUGUGCUAACGAUAUUGUUAGGUUUGGAUAAAUUAUAUUGAGUAGACAAUUUGAUGGAGAUCUUUGAUGAAUCAACUUUGAGGAUAGUAGGUCUC